GUGGGGAAUAUUGGACAAUGGGCGAAAGCCUGAUCCAGCCAUGCCGCGUGUGUGAAGAAGGUCUUCGGAUUGUAAAGCACUUUAAGUUGGGAGGAAGGGCAGUAAGUUAAUACCUUGCUGUUUUGACGUUACCGACAGAAUAAGCACCGGCUAACUUCGUGCCAGCAGCCGCGGUAAUACGAAGGGUGCAAGCGUUAAUCGGAAUUACUGGGCGUAAAGCGCGCGUAGGUGGUUUUGUACGUUGGAGGUGAAAUCCCCGGGCUCAACCUGGGAACAGCCGACAAACCUGAAUGACUAGAGUACGGUAGAGGGUAGUGGAAUUUCCUGUGUAGCGGUGAAAUGCGUAGAUAUAGGAAGGAACACCAGUGGCGAAGGCGACUACCUGGACUGAUACUGACACUGAGGUGCGAAAGCGUGGGGAGCAAACAGGAUUAGAUACCCCGGUAGUCC
rnacentral:rRNA from 1 species